AUUGAACGCUGGCGGCAGGCCUAACACAUGCAAGUCGAACGGAGCGUCGGACGGGUGAGUAAUGCCUAGGAAUCUGCCUGGUAGUGGGGGAUAACGUACGGAAACGGGCGCUAAUACCGCAUCCUAGCAGAUGAGCCUAGGUCGGAUUAGCUAGUUGGGGGGGUAAAGGCCUACCAAGGCGACGAUCCGUAACUGGUCUGAGGGGAUGAUCAGUCCCACUGGAACUGAGACACGUUCCAGACUCCUCCGGUAGGCAGCAGUGGGGAAUAUUGGCCAAGGGGCGAAAGCCUGAUCCGCCCAUGCCGCGUGUUUGAAGAAGGUCUUCGGAUUGUAAAGCACUUUAAGUUGGGAGGCGUUACCAACAGAAUAAGCACCGGCUAACUUCGUGCCAGCAGCCGCGGUAAUAC
rnacentral:rRNA from 1 species